rnacentral:lncRNA from 1 species
AUGCGUUUGCUGGCUGGGAGCCUAGAAGGGAUAGUGGGCGAGGCUCCGCCCCGUGGUGGGGCGCUUUCCGUCGGCGUGUGUUUUGGGGUUGCCAUCGGCCCGUAGUAUGUGAAAAUUGUUUUUCAGAGGCACCAAAUAAUGUCAUCUGAAAUGUUGCCAGCAUUUAUUGAAACUUCUAAUGUUGACAAAAAGCAAGGCAUAAAUGAAGAUCAAGAGGAGAGCCAGAAGCCAAGAUUAGGUGAAGGGUGUGAACCAAUAUCUAAACGACAAAUGAAAAAACUAAUAAAACAGAAACAAUGGGAAGAGCAACGGGAACUCCGCAAACAAAAGCGAAAAGAAAAACGCAAGAGGAAAAAAUUAGAGCGACAAUGUCAAAUGGAACCAAACUCAGAUGGACAUGACAGAAAACGUGUUCGAAGAGAUGUUGUUCAUAGCACCCUUCGCCUUAUUAUUGACUGUAGUUUUGAUCACUUGAUGGUAUUAAAGGUAUCAUGAAUCAUUGUCAGAAAAAUCUUGUAUGUGAAUUAGGUCGAAUCAUUUUUGUUUUAAUAUGCAAUAUCCCUUUUAUGUAAAUUUGUGUAUUGAAAUGAAUCUUCAGUUUUUCAAACUUUCCCCUAAGUUAAAUUAGCUAGCAAAUUGCAUUGAUAUAAUAAAUAUGUGUAUUUAUAUAUGUGUGUAUGUGUGUGUGUCAGUAUGUGUGCAGACAGGAAAGAGAGACAAACACACACUUUGUAGUCUAGAUGACAGAACUAAAUUAACUACUUAUUGAUCAUAAAGAUCUGUGGGGUUUUACCAGUGUUGUUGGUAAAACAUGAAAAUAGUAAUAGUAUGGCUCUAAAAGUCUUG